AUCUUUUCUUUUAGGGAAUGAACAUAACUAGUGAGGUUUUAACCGAGGCACGUGUAUUGCUGGUUGAAAUCUAUUUCCAAAACCCCCACUUAGUGAUGAUGAAUGCUUCAUUGCUUACACAAAAUUUCAUGAGAAA
rnacentral:snRNA from 1 species